GAUGAACGCUGGCGGCGUGCCUAAUACAUGCAAGUCGAGCGAACGGACGAGAAGCUUGCUUCUCUGAUGUUAGCGGCGGACGGGUGAGUAACACGUGGAUAACCUACCUAUAAGACUGGGAUAACUUCGGGAAACCGGAGCUAAUACCGGAUGAUAUUUUGAACCGCAUGGUUCAAAAGUGAAAGACGGUCUUGCUGUCACUUAUAGAUGGAUCCGCGCUGCAUUAGCUAGUUGGUAAGGUAACGGCUUACCAAGGCAACGAUGCAUAGCCGACCUGAGAGGGUGAGCGGCCACACUGGAACUGAGACACGGUCCAGACCCCUACGGGAGGCAGCAGUAGGGAAUCUUCCGCAAUGGGCGAAAGCCUGACGGAGCAACGCCGCGUGAGUGAUGAAGGUCUUCGGAUCUUAAAACUCUGUUAUUAGGGAAGAACAUAUGUGUAAGUAACUGUGCACAUCUUGACGGUACCUAAUCAGAAAGCCACGGCUAACUACGUG
rnacentral:rRNA from 1 species